rnacentral:rRNA from 1 species
GACGAACGCUGGCGGCGUGCCUAAUACAUGCAAGUUGAGCGCCGAAGGUGGGUACUUGUACUAACUGGAUGAGCAGCGAACGGGCGAGUAACGCGUGGGGAAUCUGCCAUUGAGCGGGGGACAACAUCUGGAAACGAAUGCUAAUACCGCAUAAAAACUUUAAACACAAGAGUAAAGGAUGAAAGAUGCAAUUGCAGCACUCAAAGAUGAUCCCGCGUUGUAUUAGUUAGUUGGGGAGGUAAAGGCUCACCAAGGCGAUGAUACAUAGCCGACCUGAGAGGGUGACCGGCCCCAUUGGGCCUGAGACACGGCCCAAGCUCCUACGGGAGGCAGCAGUCGGGGAUCUUCGGCUAUGGCCGAAAGUCUGACCAAUCACCGCCGCGUGAGUGCAGUAGGUUUUCGCAUCGUCAAACUCUGUUGGUCGCGAAGAACGUUGGUGAGCGUUGCAAGCUCAUCUAGUGACGGUACCUACCCAGAAAGCUACGGCUAACUUCGUG